rnacentral:rRNA from 1 species
AUUGAACGCUGGCGGCAGGCCUAACACAUGCAAGUCGAGCGGAUGAAGGGAGCUUGCUCCUGGAUUCAGCGGCGGACGGGUGAGUAAUGCCUAGGAAUCUGCCUGGUAGUGGGGGAUAGCGUCCGGAAACGGGCGCUAAUACCGCAUACGUCCUGAGGGAGAAAGUGGGGGAUCUUCGGACCUCACGCUAUCAGAUGAGCCUAGGUCGGAUUAGCUAGUUGGUGGGGUAAGGGCCUACCAAGGCGACGAUCCGUAACUGGUCUGAGAGGAUGAUCAGUCACACUGGAACUGAGACACGGUCCAGACUCCUACGGGAGGCAGCAGUGGGGAAUAUUGGACAAUGGGCGAAAGCCUGAUCCAGCCAUGCCGCGUGUGUGAAGAAGGUCUUCGGAUUGUAAAGCACUUUAAGUUGGGAGGAAGGGCAGUAAGUUAAUACCUUGCUGUUUUGACGUUACCAACAGAAUAAGCACCGGCUAACUUCGUG